ACGGAGGGUGCAAGCGUUAUUCGGAAUUACUGGGCGUAAAGCGCACGUAGGCGGCUUCGUAAGUCAGGGGUGAAAUCCCACGGCUCAACCGUGGAACUGCCUUUGAAACUGCAAAGCUUGAAUCCUGGAGAGGGUGGCGGAAUUCCUGGUGUAGCAGUGAAAUCCGUAGAUAUCAGGAGGAACACCGAUGGCGAAGGCGGCCACCUGGACAAGUAUUGACGCUGAGGUGCGAAAGUGUGGGGAGCAAACAG
rnacentral:rRNA from 1 species